CCACUGAAUUGUUACGUUGCCUUUGCCACGAGCACGUUGGACGAUUGGACUUACCCUUGAGUGGAGGACGGAUGAGUAACACGUGGGUAACCUGCCCCAAAGCGGGGAGAUAACAUUUGGCAAACAGAUGCUAAUACCGCAUAACAAUUUGAAUCUCAUGAUACAUAUUUAGAAGAUGGUGUCAGCUAUCACUUUGGGAUGGACCUGCGGUGCAUUAGCUUGUUGGUAGGGUAACGGCCUACCAAGGCUGUGAUGCGUAACCGAGUUGAGAGACUGAUCGGCCACAAUGGAACUGAGACACGGUCCAUACUCCUACGGGAGGCAGCAGUAAGGAAUCUUCCACAAUGGGCGCAAGCCUGAUGGAGCAACACCGCGUGAGUGAAGAAGGGUUUCCGCUCGUAAAGCUCUGUUGUUAGAGAAGAACGUGCGUGAGAGCAACUGUUCACGCAGUGACGGUAUCUAACCAGAAAGUCACGGCUAACUACGUGCCAGCAGCCGCGGUAAUACGUAGGUGGCAAGCGUUAUCCGGAUUGAUUGGGCGUAAAGCGAGCGCAGGCGGUUUGAUAAGACUGAUGUGACAGCCUUUGGCUUAACCAAAGAAGUGCAUCGCAGACUGUCAUACUUGAGUGCAAAAAAAGACAGUGUAACUGCAUGUGUA
rnacentral:rRNA from 1 species